GAGUUUGAUCCUGGCUCAGAACGAACGCUGGCGGCAGGCCUAACACAUGCAAGUCGAGCGCACCUUCGGGUGAGCGGCGGACGGGUUAGUAACGCGUGGGAAUAUACCCUUUGGUACGGAAUAGCCUCUGGAAACGGAGAGUAAUACCGUAUGAGCCCUUCGGGGGAAAGAUUUAUCGCCAAAGGAUUAGCCCGCGUUAGAUUAGGUAGUUGGUGGGGUAAUGGCCUACCAAGCCUACGAUCUAUAGCUGGUUUUAGAGGAUGAUCAGCAACACUGGGACUGAGACACGGCCCAGACUCCUACGGGAGGCAGCAGUGGGGAAUCUUGGACAAUGGGCGCAAGCCUGAUCCAGCCAUGCCGCGUGAGUGAUGAAGGCCUUAGGGUCGUAAAGCUCUUUCGCCUGUGAGGAUAAUGACGGUAGCAGGUAAAGAAACCCCGGCUAACUCCGUGCCAGCAGCCGCGGUAAUACGGAGGGGGUUAGCGUUGUUCGGAAUUACUGGGCGUAAAGCGCACGUAGGCGGACUGGAAAGUUGGGGGUGAAAUCCCAGGGCUCAACCCUGGAACUGCCUCCAGAACUAUCAGUCUAGAGUUCGAGAGAGGUGAGUGGAAUUCCGAGUGUAGAGGUGAGAUUCGUAGAUAUUCGGAGGAACACCAGUGGCGAAGGCGGCUCACUGGCUCGAUACUGACGCUGAGGUGCGAAAGUGUGGGGAGCAAACAGGAUUAGAUACCCUGGUAGUCCACACCGUAAACGAUGAAUGCCAGUCGUCGGGUAGCAUGCUAUUCGGUGACACACCUAACGGAUUAGGCAUUCCGCCUGGGGAGUACGGUCGCAAGAUUAAAACUCAAAGGAAUUGACGGGGGCUCGCACAAGCGGUGGAGCAUGUGGUUUAAUUCGAAGCAACGCGCAGAACCUUACCAACCCUUGACAUCCUAGGACCGGCCCAGAGAUGGGUCUUUCACUUCGGUGACCUAGUGACAGGUGCUGCAUGGCUGUCGUCAGCUCGUGUCGUGAGAUGUUCGGUUAAGUCCGGCAACGAGCGCAACCCACAUCCUUAGUUGCCAGCAGUUCGGCUGGGCACUCUAGGGAAACUGCCCGUGAUAAGCGGGAGGAAGGUGUGGAUGACGUCAAGUCCUCAUGGCCCUUACGGGUUGGGCUACACACGUGCUACAAUGGCAGUGACAAUGGGUUAAUCCCAAAAAACUGUCUCAGUUCGGAUUGGGGUCUGCAACUCGACCCCAUGAAGUCGGAAUCGCUAGUAAUCGCGUAACAGCAUGACGCGGUGAAUACGUUCCCGGGCCUUGUACACACCGCCCGUCACACCAUGGGAGUUGGUUCUACCCGACGGCCGUGCGCCAACCCUUCGAGGAGGCAGCGGAUCACGGUAGGACCAGCGACUGGGGUGAAGUCGUAACAAGGUAGCCGUAGGGGAACCUGCGGCUGGAUCACUCCUUUCU
rnacentral:rRNA from 1 species